AUUGACGGCCAUAUUAGGGUGAAAGCACCGUAUCCCGUCUGCUCUGCGAGGAUAAGCAGCCUCAAGCUUGGGUACGACUCGGAUAGGUGACCACGCGGGAAGUUCCCGUGGUGCCUAUU
rnacentral:rRNA from 1 species